GACGUAGGAGGCGAGCGUUAUCCGGAUUCACUGGGCGUAAAGCGCAUGUAGGCGGUUGGACAAGUCGUGUGUUAAAGCCCCUGGCUCAACUGGGGGAGGUCGUGCGAGACUGUGCGACUUGAGGGCAAGAGAGGCACGUGGAACUCCCGGUGUAGCGGUGGAAUGCGUAGAGAUCGGGAAGAACACCAGUGGCGAAGGCGACGUGCUGGGUUGCACCUGACGCUGAGAUGCGAAAGUGUGGGGAGCAAACGGG
rnacentral:rRNA from 1 species